rnacentral:rRNA from 1 species
AUAACCGGCGAUUUCCGAAUGGGGAAACCCAGUGUGUUUCGWCACACUAUCAUUAACUGAAUCCAUAGGUUAAUGAGGCGAACCGGGGGAACUGAAACAUCUAAGUACCCCGAGGAAAAGAAAUCAACCGAGAUUCCCCCAGUAGCGGCGAGCGAACGGGGAGCAGCCCAGAGCCUGAAUCAGUGUGUGUGUUAGUGGAAGCGUCUGGAAAGGCGCGCGAUACAGGGUGACAGCCCCGUACACAAAAAUGCACAUGCUGUGAGCUCGAUGAGUAGGGCGGGACACGUGGUAUCCUGUCUGAAUAUGGGGGGACCAUCCUCCAAGGCUAAAUACUCCUGACUGACCGAUAGUGAACCAGUACCGUGAGGGAAAGGCGAAAAGAACCCCGGCGAGGGGAGUGAAAAAGAACCUGAAACCGUGUACGUACAAGCAGUGGGAGCCUCUUUAUGGGGUGACUGCGUACCUUUUGUAUAAUGGGUCAGCGACUUAUAUUCUGUAGCAAGGUUAACCGAAUAGGGGAGCCGAAGGGAAACCGAGUCUUAACUGGGCGUUAAGUUGCAGGGUAUAGACCCGAAACCCGGUGAUCUAGCCAUGGGCAGGUUGAAGGUUGGGUAACACUAACUGGAGGACCGAACCGACUAAUGUUGAAAAAUUAGCGGAUGACUUGUGGCUGGGGGUGAAAGGCCAAUCAAACCGGGAGAUAGCUGGUUCUCCCCGAAAGCUAUUUAGGUAGCGCCUCGUGAAUUCAUCUCCGGGGGUAGAGCACUGUUUCGGCAAGGGGGUCAUCCCGACUUACCAACCCGAUGCAAACUGCGAAUACCGGAGAAUGUUAUCACGGGAGACACACGGCGGGUGCUAACGUCCGUCGUGAAGAGGGAAACAACCCAGACCGCCAGCUAAGGUCCCAAAGUCAUGGUUAAGUGGGAAACGAUGUGGGAAGGCCCAGACAGCCAGGAUGUUGGCUUAGAAGCAGCCAUCAUUUAAAGAAAGCGUAAUAGCUCACUGGUCGAGUCGGCCUGCGCGGAAGAUGUAACGGGGCUAAACCAUGCACCGAAGCUGCGGCAGCGACGCUUAUGCGUUGUUGGGUAGGGGAGCGUUCUGUAAGCCUGUGAAGGUGUGCUGUGAGGCAUGCUGGAGGUAUCAGAAGUGCGAAUGCUGACAUAAGUAACGAUAAAGCGGGUGAAAAGCCCGCUCGCCGGAAGACCAAGGGUUCCUGUCCAACGUUAAUCGGGGCAGGGUGAGUCGACCCCUAAGGCGAGGCCGAAAGGCGUAGUCGAUGGGAAACAGGUUAAUAUUCCUGUACUUGGUGUUACUGCGAAGGGGGGACGGAGAAGGCUAUGUUGGCCGGGCGACGGUUGUCCCGGUUUAAGCGUGUAGGCUGGUUUUCCAGGCAAAUCCGGAAAAUCAAGGCUGAGGCGUGAUGACGAGGCACUACGGUGCUGAAGCAACAAAUGCCCUGCUUCCAGGAAAAGCCUCUAAGCAUCAGGUAACAUCAAAUCGUACCCCAAACCGACACAGGUGGUCAGGUAGAGAAUACCAAGGCGCUUGAGAGAACUCGGGUGAAGGAACUAGGCAAAAUGGUGCCGUAACUUCGGGAGAAGGCACGCUGAUAUGUAGGUGAAGUCCCUUGCGGAUGGAGCUGAAAUCAGUCGAAGAUACCAGCUGGCUGCAACUGUUUAUUAAAAACACAGCACUGUGCAAACACGAAAGUGGACGUAUACGGUGUGACGCCUGCCCGGUGCCGGAAGGUUAAUUGAUGGGGUCAGCGCAAGCGAAGCUCUUGAUCGAAGCCCCGGUAAACGGCGGCCGUAACUAUAACGGUCCUAAGGUAGCGAAAUUCCUUGUCGGGUAAGUUCCGACCUGCACGAAUGGCGUAAUGAUGGCCAGGCUGUCUCCACCCGAGACUCAGUGAAAUUGAACUCGCUGUGAAGAUGCAGUGUACCCGCGGCAAGACGGAAAGACCCCGUGAACCUUUACUAUAGCUUGACACUGAACAUUGAGCCUUGAUGUGUAGGAUAGGUGGGAGGCUUAGAAGUGUGGACGCCAGUCUGCAUGGAGCCGACCUUGAAAUACCACCCUUUAAUGUUUGAUGUUCUAACGUUGACCCGUAAUCCGGGUUGCGGACAGUGUCUGGUGGGUAGUUUGACUGGGGCGGUCUCCUCCUAAAGAGUAACGGAGGAGCACGAAGGUUGGCUAAUCCUGGUCGGACAUCAGGAGGUUAGUGCAAUGGCAUAAGCCAGCUUGACUGCGAGCGUGACGGCGCGAGCAGGUGCGAAAGCAGGUCAUAGUGAUCCGGUGGUUCUGAAUGGAAGGGCCAUCGCUCAACGGAUAAAAGGUACUCCGGGGAUAACAGGCUGAUACCGCCCAAGAGUUCAUAUCGACGGCGGUGUUUGGCACCUCGAUGUCGGCUCAUCACAUCCUGGGGCUGAAGUAGGUCCCAAGGGUAUGGCUGUUCGCCAUUUAAAGUGGUACGCGAGCUGGGUUUAGAACGUCGUGAGACAGUUCGGUCCCUAUCUGCCGUGGGCGCUGGAGAACUGAGGGGGGCUGCUCCUAGUACGAGAGGACCGGAGUGGACGCAUCACUGGUGUUCGGGUUGUCAUGCCAAUGGCACUGCCCGGUAGCUAAAUGCGGAAGAGAUAAGUGCUGAAAGCAUCUAAGCACGAAACUUGCCCCGAGAUGAGUUCUCCCUGACCCUUUAAGGGUCCUGAAGGAACGUUGAAGACGACGACGUUGAUAGGCCGGGUGUGUAAGCGCAGCGAUGCGUUGAGCUAACCGGUACUAAUGAACCGUGAGGCUUAACC